UACGGAGGGUGCGAGCGUUAAUCGGAAUAACUGGGUGUAAAGGGCACGCAGGCGGUGACUUAAGUGAGGUGUGAAAGCCCCGGGCUUAACCUGGGAAUUGCAUUUCAUACUGGGUCGCUAGAGUACUUUAGGGAGGGGUAGAAUUCCACGUGUAGCGGUGAAAUGCGUAGAGAUGUGGAGGAAUACCGAAGGCGAAGGCAGCCCCUUGGGAAUGUACUGACGCUCAUGUGCGAAAGCGUGGGGAGCAAACAGG
rnacentral:rRNA from 1 species